rnacentral:rRNA from 1 species
GACGUAGGGCGCGAGCGUUGUCCGGAUUUAUUGGGCGUAAAGGGCUCGUAGGCGGUCUGUUACGUCGGGAGUGAAAACUCGGGGCUCAACCCCGAGCCUGCUUCCGAUACGGGCAGACUAGAGGUAUGCAGGGGAGAAUGGAAUUCCUGGUGUAGCGGUGAAAUGCGCAGAUAUCAGGAGGAACACCGGUGGCGAAGGCGGUUCUCUGGGCAUUACCUGACGCUGAGGAGCGAAAGUGUGGGGAGCGAACAGG